rnacentral:rRNA from 1 species
AAAUUGAAGAGUUUGAUCAUGGCUCAGAUUGAACGCUGGCGGCAGGCCUAACACAUGCAAGUCGAACGGUAACAGAAAGCAGCUUGCUGCUUUGCUGACGAGUGGCGGACGGGUGAGUAAUGUCUGGGAAACUGCCUGAUGGAGGGGGAUAACUACUGGAAACGGUAGCUAAUACCGCAUAACGUCGCAAGACCAAAGAGGGGGACCUUCGGGCCUCUUACCAUCGGAUGUGCCCAGAUGGGAUUAGCUAGUAGGUGGGGUAA